rnacentral:lncRNA from 1 species
UUUGUCUACUCCUUCCAAUGACCCUGAUUUAACUGUAAUAGCUACAUACAUGAUCUUUCAGUUAUGCACAUGGGAAAAUAACUGUAAAAGAAUACAGGCAACACUUAGAAAAAGGAAAAAUAAUAAACACAGGAAAAGAAACGCACUAUUACUAGAAAGCAGGGAAAUGCGUAUUGAAUGUAAAGGACCAUGGCAGAGCUUACGUGAUCUUCGGAGGCCAGAGGAUUGAAAUUGGAGACUUGAAGACCCUCAAACACAUGAACAGUGUUACUCUAAUAUUUAGCAAGUUCCUUGGGAAGACACAAAACCAUCACCACUAGAAAAUGCCUUUGACCAAGCCUUGGACAGAUGAAGACAAAGCGGAGCACACAUCACGAAAAGUGUCUGUCUCGUCCGCAGCCUGGCCUACCCUUCCCCCAUCAAGGUGGAGAAAAUCAACUUACCAUAAAUUAUGCAGCCUUAAACCAAGUGCUUCACUAUUCUGGGAGUUAACAACCUCAUUUGUAAAAUCAGUGGAUGAGACUAUCCUAGAAAAUGACCUUUAAGACCUUUUCCGGGUCUAACUUACACUUUACUAAGAGUGCCGA